GGCAAAUCUCCAAAAGACCGUCCCAGUUCGGAUUGCAGGCUGCAACCCGCCUGCAUGAAGUUGGAAUCGCUAGUAAUCGCGGAUCAGCAUGCCGCGGUGAAUACGUUCCCGGGCCUUGUACACACCGCCCGUCACACCAUGAGAGUCGGGAACACCCGAAGUCCGUAGCCUAACCGCAAGGGGGGCGCGGCCGAAGGUGGGUUCGAUAAUUGGGGUGAAGUCGUAACAAGGUAUC
rnacentral:rRNA from 1 species